CAUUAAAAUUUUAAGUUCAGUAUUUAUUUUUCAAAAUAACGUAGUGAUCUGUUAUUGCAUUUCGAUUGUGUUCUCAUUUCUUUAAUUGACACAUUUCCGCUCUGAUCAUGAAAAUUUGUUACGAAUGUUAUUUUGAAUUUAUUUUAUAUAUUUGUGGUAAUUCUUCAAAACAUACGCAACGGGUCGCUGUGCCCCAACAAAAACGAGGAUUUAAAUUUAUUUAUUUAUUUUGUAGUCGCCAUGACAGUUCAUGCUCACCAGCGAGUCUUUGGAAAAGCGUGUGGGGAUACGAGUGCUUCUCUGCUGGCUUUCUGCAUUGACUUACACUGUGACACUUCUGUAGAAGGCAGGCUGAUACUAAGCCAAUAUUGGAAUCUGCUGAAUGCAUUGCAUUUGCGAUCAUCAUUGUUAAGGACAGGUGUUUUUUGGGCUCGCAAAGACGACAAAGCUGAGCAGACAAAAUGGAUGCGCAGCCUACAGUGAAGUACGUCGCAACAUUACUUCUGCUCUCGGCACUGGUUUACACGGCGUCAUCUGUCACCCAUUAUUCUAUUCCGGAGGAGAUGGAGGUAGGCUCUGUGGUUGCGAAUUUGGCUGCAGAUCUAGGAAUCGAUGUGCAAACGUUAGGAAGACGAAAAAUCAGGUUAGAUAUCCUUGCAAGUAAGAAAUACCUGGAUGUGAACAAAGAAAGCGGAGAUCUGUUUAUUUUGGAGCGCAUUGACAGAGAGUAUCUUUGCACAUCAAAAACAGUUUGUUAUUUAAAAAUGGAAGUCAUUCUUGAGAACCCUGUUCGUAUAUUUAACAUUGAAUUGGAAAUAAUGGACAUUAACGACAAUGCGCCUUACUUCCGUAGGGAUACGAUUAAUUUGGACGUCUCUGAAUCUACUGCUGUUGGCGAGAGGUUUUCUCUAAGUAAUGCAGUUGACCCUGAUAUUGGUUCAAAUUCUAUUAAAAGUUAUCAUUUGAGUGAGAGUGCAAACUUUGAUAUUGAAAUACAGACAGGGAGGGAUGGUUCAAAAUUUGCUGAUUUAAUAUUGAAAAAAGCUUUAGAUCGCGAGGAGCAGGCCGUUCAUAAUCUGAUACUCACUGCUGUGGAUGGAGGAGUCCCCGCGCGCUCUGGCACUGCUAGUAUUAUUGUGCGCGUUCUGGACACUAAUGACAACGCCCCACAAUUCGAUAAAGACAGUUAUACAAUACAUCUAACAGAAAACGCACCAAUUGGAAGCCUUGUCGUGAAAUUAAACGCUACAGAUAGAGAUGAAGGGUCCAAUUCAGAUAUCACAUAUUCUUUUAGUCUGUAUACAUCUGAGAAAACACAGACAACAUUUGAAUUAAAGCCUGACAGUGGUGAAAUCAGAGUAAAGGAGAUGAUUAAUUAUGAGGAUUUCCGGAUCUAUGAUAUGGAAAUUAUAGCAACAGAUAAAGGAGCUAAUAGUCUCUCUGGGAAAUGUAAAGUAAAGAUUUUAGUCACAGAUAUGAAUGAUAACCAUCCUGAAAUUUCUAUAAAAUCAUUCACAAGUCCUGUUAAAGAGGAUAUAGCUGUAAAUACAGUAAUUGCAGUUGUUAGUGUGAGUGAUAAAGACUCAGGAGAAAAUGGACAGAUAGAUAUUCAUAUUUCUGAUGAUUUACCUUUUGCGCUCAAAGAAUCGUCUGAUAAUUAUUAUGAAUUAUUAGUUUCAGAACCGUUAGACCGUGAAAAGGUUCCAGAAUAUGACAUCACUAUUACCGUGACUGACAGGGGCAACCUGCCGUUAUCUGAUAAUGAAACUAUAACUUUAGAGCUGCUGGACAUUAACGACAAUGUUCCUCAGUUCCCGCAGACCUUUUACACGAUACCUGUUAUGGAGAAUAACGCGCCUGGAGCUUUACUGAGCUCUUUAACUGCUAUAGACCCAGAUCUCCAUGAAAAUCAGUAUCUAGUUUACUUUAUCAUAGAGAAGGAAAUAGUGAACACCUCCAUGUCCAUGCUGUUUUCCAUUAACCCAGAGAACGGCAAUCUUUACGCGCUAAAGACGUUUGACUAUGAGAUAGAGAAGGAGUUUCUUUUCCACAUCGAGGCCAGAGACUCUGGUGUUCCUCCGCUCAGCAGUAACGUGACCGUUCACAUUAUUAUCAUGGAUCAGAACGACAACACGCCACUUAUAGUGUCUCCAUGGCGCGCGCACGGCUCGGUGGUGGAGGAAAAAAUCCCGAGAUCCACCGAUAAAGGGACUCUGAUAGCCAAAGUCAUCGCCAUAGACUCUGAUUCAGUGCACAACUCUCGAAUCACGUACCAGUUUCUCCACAACACUGACGCCACAUUAUUCAGCUUGGAUCAAUAUAACGGAGAGAUCCGGACCAUGAGAAUGUUCAGUUACAGAGACUCGCGCCACCAGCAGCUGGUUGUGAUCGCCAAGGACAACGGAGAGCCCGCGCUCUCUGCUACAGUCACCAUCAAACUGUCCACGGUGGAGACCGCCCUUAAAACCUAUGCUGACAUGACUGAGGUGCCUUUGGGAUAUGACAUCUUCUCCGAUUUAAACCUGUAUCUGGUGAUCGGACUGGGCUCCGUUUCAUUUCUUUUACUCAUCACUAUAUUGGUCACCAUCGUGCUGAAGUGUCAGAAAACGAAGCCCAGCAAAGCGGCUCCUCCGUGCAGGAACAGUGUGAUCAGCGAGAGAAACUCGACCAUCGCGGAUUCCACUCUGGUCUCCAACGAUGCCUACUGGUACAGUUUAUUUCUAGCAGAGACCAGGAAAGGAAAGCUGGUGGUCAGACAGCCUGUGCCAAAGGGAGCAAGAUAUGUCGUGUCCAGUUUACCAAGGAGCACAGGACUGACCGAGACCAGCGACUCGGCUGCUUCUACUCUACAGUACUCAAAAUGAACGAGGUCCCCUUUCCCGCUGGAGGUAUGCAGUCCUGACUACACCAUUCUCUCGAUUUCUGGAGCGCCUGGUCCCAGGGCCCAUUGACCUUUACUGAAAUAUAUGUGACUGCUUCCACCACCACCAGCAGCAGUUCCACCUGAGGAUCCUCCCAACCAUAUUGCCAGAGCAGAGUAUUGAAAACAUUCCAUCAGCCUGCAUGUCUGUCCACCUGUAUCCAUCAUAUUCCCCUGCACCAUCUUGCAGAGAUGAAAUCAACCCUGAACGAUCUCUACAUCUUCACAUCAGUGUUCGGAAAGUUUGCCCAGGACUGACCAGAGGAUUGACGAAGAUCUUUUGCUUCUGAUAUUAAGAGAUACUCUUAAAUCUGACCGCUCAAGAUUGGACUUGGACUGGAUCUGUGAGGACACACACACACACACACACACAAACACACACACACACACACACACACACACACACACACACACACACACACACACACACACACACACACACACACACACACACAUAUGCAUAUCUUCAAACAGCACAGCUUAUGUCUUUAUCAAAGAAACUGUUCUGCAAAAACAGUAUGCUUGUGUUUGCAUGCUUAGAGUUACACGUUAUUUUCGUUAUAUUUAGGGACUGUUAAAGACAUUGGGGAGAGAAACUAUUAACAGAAUAUUCUGAAUUUGUGUGGACACUGAAUUGCAAAAAAACAAAAAACUAAAUCUUAAUCAGUAGAUACUAA